rnacentral:rRNA from 1 species
UACGGAGGGUGCGAGCGUUGUCCGGAAUCAUUGGGCGUAAAGGGCGCGUAGGUGGCCCGGUCAGUUCGUGGUGAAAGCUCGUGGCUCAACUGCGAGUCGGCCAUAGAUACUCCUAAGCUCGAGUCGACUAGAGGCAGAUGGAAUUCCGGGUGUAGCGGUGGAAUGCGUAGAGAUCCGGAAGAACACCGGUGGCGAAGGCGGUCUGCUGGGGUCGAACUGACGCUGAGGCGCGACAGCGUGGGGAGCAAACAGG